UAUUCAGGAAAACGAAACAGAAACCCAAAGAGCAGACAACGGGCUUCAAAUUGCAGCUGUCAUCAACACACGUCAUCGGCAUGGGCCAACCUACAACAUUAACCAGUUUGCCUGAUCUUUUAAGUCUUCUGGCAGAUACAGUGAGAUCUCCCAGCCCAUACAAACAAAUGAACAUUUGUGAAUUUUAAUUGCUUUCCUCCUCACAGGACUGUUUACAAGUCCCUCCCCGCCCACCAACACAGAAGCAGUGACAGGUCUUUAGAUAACCCAGCCAAGGCACUGAGAGACACUUUGGGUCUGUUUGCUAACAGAUCUCCAGCAGACGUGCCAGACAGGAUGCUGACGCUGUGACCGGUGACAAAUGGCCUCGCAUCUGACACACAAACCAGAGCUUAGCAAGAAGCACAGAUGACUUUCAGAGGCAUUUUAUCCUUAUCUCUGUGUGGGGGGGAAGUCUAUUUCUCCCACGUGACAUCAAAAUGUGGAGUGAGAAUCACCAGCUCCUCAUAAAAACACACAGCAUCAUCACUUGGAGCAGGAUCAAAGCCAACAGGUUGCAAGGACCCAGUGCUGUGGAUGAACAACUUGCUUGGCAAUUAGGAAGCAAUUCUUCAUUACUAAAAGGCAGUGCAAUUAUUUUCAUACGCCUCAAGUUUUCAUUAAGCGUGGUGUUCCUGGAAUAGCAAAUCUUUUGAUGUAACGAGUGUUCUUCAUCCCCUGAGCAGAGGGGCUUGCAGGUGACUUGGACCAUCAGCUCUGGGUCUGGAAUUGUGGCCUGAAGGAUGGUGCAGGGCUCUAGAAGCACUCUGCAGUGUGAAAUCUCUCACAACCUCACUCUUUGCUGGCUGAAGGCUGGACAGCUUCCAGGAGUUUGAAAUGGUUAUUUUAGAGAGCAAACCAUUCAUAGGACUUGCCAUGAUAGAGAGGGUGUAAAGAACCACUGGCUUUUGGUUGAGAUCACAGUAUUUUAGUUGGAGAUGGACUCUGCCUAAGGCAAGGAAGAUAUUAAUGAUAAAAUUAAUGGCAAAAUCAUGA